GCCGGGCGCGGUGGCGCGCGCCUGUAGUCCCAGCUACUCGGGAGGCUGAGGCAGGAGGAUCGCUUGAGCCCAGGAGUUCUGGGCUGUAGUGCGCUAUGCCGAUCGGGUGUCCGCACUAAGUUCGGCAUCAAUAUGGUGACCUCCCGGGAGCGGGGGACCACCAGGUUGCCUAAGGAGGGGUGAACCGGCCCAGGUCGGAAACGGAGCAGGUCAAAAAUACAAGGUUACAUUUUAAAUUCCAGCUUGAAAAACAUAGCAAAUU
rnacentral:SRP_RNA from 1 species